rnacentral:rRNA from 4 species
AGGCUUAACACAUGCAAGUCGAGCGGGCGUAGCAAUACGUCAGCGGCAGACGGGUGAGUAACGCGUGGGAACGUACCUUUUGGUUCGGAACAACACAGGGAAACUUGUGCUAAUACCGGAUAAGCCCUUACGGGGAAAGAUUUAUCGCCGAAAGAUCGGCCCGCGUCUGAUUAGCUAGUUGGUAGGGUAAUGGCCUACCAAGGCGACGAUCAGUAGCUGGUCUGAGAGGAUGAUCAGCCACAUUGGGACUGAGACACGGCCCAA